GACGAACCGUGCGAACGUUGUUCGGAAUCACUGGGCUUAAAGGGCGCGUAGGCGGGCGGUCAAGUCUGUGGUGAAAUCCUUCGGCUCAACCGGAGAAUAGCUGGAGAUACUGGCCGUCUCGAGGGGGGUAGGGGCAUGUGGAACUUCCGGUGGAGCGGUGAAAUGCGUAGAGAUCAGCAGGAACACCCGUGGCGAAGGCGACCACCUGGACUGAUACUGACACUGAGGUGCGAAAGCGUGGGGAGCAAACAGG
rnacentral:rRNA from 1 species